AUGAUUUUCGCACAAAGCUUGUUCGUUUCAUCGACGUAGGUACCUGCGUCGGCGUCGGCGUCUAGACGCAGCGUCCAGCGUCAAGACGCCGAGAAAACCAGCGGCCGCGUCAAAAGAUCUGCGUUUUUUUACCCUAUUUAUAAUUUUACCCUUAACCUAAUUUAUUAUUUACAAAAAAACCUAACAUAUUUGACGCAGCCGCCUCCUUUUGACGCAACUUCAUCUCUCUCGAUCUCUUCUCACAGACCUCUCAUCUCGAUCUCCAUCUCUUUGCGAUCUCCAUCUCAUCUCGAUCUCCAUCUCUCUCCAACUCCAUCUCACUCUCCAUCUCGACUCUCUCUCCAUCUCGUGCUCUCACUCCAUCUUGUGCCCUCACUCUCCAUCUCGUGCUCUCACUCUCCAUCUCACUCUCCAUCUCGACUCUCUCUCCAUCUCGUGCUCUCUGACACAAACCCAUCUCAAGUUCUCUCUCAAUCUCCGAAGCAGACCCAUCUAUGAGCUCUCUCUCUUGAACCUAACUUGGUGGAAGCCAUCGGUUUAAGAUUGACCCGGACAUUCAAAAGGGUUUAGACCUUGGUCUGGUGUCACCUGAGAUUCUACAGAACUUCUUUGAUCUAGAGCAAUAUCCUCUUAUUGCAGAGCUUACACAGAGGUUCCAGGGUUUCAGAGAAAGGCUUUCUGUGUGUGUCUGUCUUUCACUGUCUUGUAAGGAUCGGAAUCUCAUCCAAGUAAACGAAGGUUAUCAGACCAACUCUACUCCUCCAUCUAAAGUCAGAAUGCAGAAGCAUAUAAUGGUAGAAAAGGAGUUACAAUGAAUGUUCUCGCCAUAUGUAACUUCGAUAUGAAGUUCAUAUAUGCAUAUGUCGGAGUACCUGGUAGAGCACAUGAUUCAAAGGUCUUGACUCAUUGUGCGAGGAAUGAGGCUUCUU